GAGGGCGAGACCCUCGCCGAGAUCCUCAAGGCCUCCAACCAGUCCCUCGCCUCCAUUAUCAACCCCCUAAAGUACACCACGCUCAAAUGCCUCGCCGCGCGCACGGUCAAGAACUACAAACUACCCUACAGACAUGUCGUGCCGCAGUGCUUGCAUUCUACCAUUAUCAACCAUUGAGCGAACCGAAGCUGUGAGUAUCGGCUACUUUAAUGCGGAAUUCUGUACAUUAGCAGCCUUUAGAGAUGCUGUAUUGACGGAAGUAUUAUGUUAGUCCUUUGUCUAGUGACGAUGAUUCGAUGUAUUAAACUCCUGUAUAUGAUCUCGUGACCGGUUAAGAACUCAAUUUGACCUUAAUGGUGUUGAAUACCGAUGCAUCACAAACUUCCGAUGAAAUAGGUACCUAACACAUUUUAAUUUAAUUUUGGUGAUUUCGAUAAUACAAUUUGAGUUUCAAAUGUAUGCACGUGCACGGUCGUACAGAGGUGUAUCAUUGAAUUGUUUUUUACACGACAUUUAUAUUGUGAUUUUAUUUGUAGUUAUGGGUAGAUGGUGUUCCGGUGUCUAUACAAGUAUACACUGUACAUGUUAUGUCUCUGAGGCUACCCGAUCCACUUACAUAGCGGAGUCAUUCAGUCAGUCACCGAUUUAUCACUGUAUUUAAUAUAUCGAUUUGAAAAUUAUCAGAUCAAUAUUUAUGAUUUAUAUCUUCACAAUGCGGGUACAAGGUUCACAUUUUUAAUUCAUAUUUUAUUUUAUAUUAAUAGAUUUUUGGUUCAAUGCAAUACUAGGGGAAUAAUAUGAAAUUACAUAACAUUAUAAUAUAAAAUUGAUGUGAUUGAUAUUGUAAUAUUUUUAUCGUAAAUAUUACUGUCGCUAUGGGUCGAUAUAUAGCUAAAAUAUAAUGUUGUAUGUACAGAUUUUAAUUAAUAUUAGCUUGGCCGUAACACAGAAGUUAUUUAAAAGAACCAUGGAAAUAUUUUCUUUGAACCCACAUUAUUCUUCAGUUGUGCUGUAAAGUUCAAUAGUUUUCUAAAGAAACAAUUGACCGUAACAAAAUAUGUAUAUUUUUUGUGUUUGUUGAAUGUUAUGUGUAAAAAAAUUAUAAAGCUCAAUUUAAUACUGGGUUGCUCAAAACGCACCAUAAUCGAGGCUACUUACGUGUGAAAAA